CCUGCAGACUGUGUAACAGACACUAGGGUUUUAUUUAGCUAUUUAUGUCUGGGUAUCAGAAUUCUAUUUUUAUUUUGUUUUCUUUUUGAUCCCUAAUUAUGGUUUCUCCUCAUAUAUUCUCCCAAAUGUGGGGAGCAGAUGUUGAAAGGAUUUGUGCAAUUGAAAGGAGCAAGACUAAGCUUUGAACAAAGGAAAUUCAUCCGAAAAUGCCAUGGAAGUUUGAAAAUGCAGUUGAAGUACAAACACUGCCUGUAUAAUUAUUCAACGUUUAAUUGAUUUGAAACAAUGGGUGAAGCCAGACUAAGCUUUGAACAACAACAAAAAAAUUAUGAACUAAACUUUUUUAUGGGGAUAUGUAAAAGAUAAAGCAUAAUGUACAAAACUGGCAACAGUUGACAAACUGAGGGCUCACAAAUACUGAACGAAAUGAUUCUAGAUGUUUGUGAUUCCAUUGCUUUGCAUUAACAGCAGUUCCUGGACCAGAAGUCAUCAGUUUGAAAACAGGCAUUGACAAAAAAAAAAAGUAUUCAUUUCUGUAAAUUCUUUUAAAUUCUGAAAAUGAACUGUAUAUUAAUAAACACUGACUUUA